rnacentral:rRNA from 2 species
UCCUUUUGUAGAUAAUUUAAGGUCUAGCCUGCCCACUGAAAUUUUAAAUGGCCGUGGUAUUUUGACCGUGCUAAGGUAGCAUAAUCAUUAGUUUUUUAAUUAAAAACUGGAAUGAAAGGUUGGAUGAGAAAAUAGCUGUCUCUAUUAGAUUUAAUUAGAAUUUUAUUUUUAAGUUAAAAAGCUUAAUUAUUAUUAAAAGACGAGAAGACCCUAUAGAGUUUAAUUAUUUAGUAAAAAUUAUAUUUUAGUAUUAAUUUAUUUAUUUUAUUAAAUAAUUUAAUUGGGGUGAUUGAAAAAUUUAAUUAACUUUUUUUAUUUAAGAACAUUAAUUUAUGAAUAAAUGAUCCAAUAUUUUUGAUUAUAAGAUAAAAUUACCUUAGGGAUAACAGCGUAAUUUUUUUAGAAAGUUCAUAUUAAAAAAAAAGAUUGCGACCUCGAUGUUGGAUUAAAAUAAAUUUUUGGUGUAGAAGCUAAAAUAUUAGGUCUGUUCGACCUUUAAAAUUUUACAUGAU